rnacentral:misc_RNA from 1 species
UAUAAAUUUCAUCGAGAUCUGAUAACUACUUUUUGAGUAAUCUUUAAUAACGCGUAUUGCUUGACUAUUUUUUCGUCGAUCUACGUUGUAUUACUUGUCGAUGUAAUUGAAGUCGGUUUUUUUUUUGGUUGCGAGCAAACACAAUUAUUUUAGUUAAAUUGUAUAUCCUCUCUGUAACGGCAUAAUAUUUGGGCAUGCAUUUUACAUCAAAAAAGUUGUAAUGACGU